rnacentral:pre_miRNA from 1 species
GAUUUCAGCUGAAAAAGUCAUCAACAACAAAGUUGUAUAACUCAUCAAGAUAUAUAACUUCUAUUUUAGUCAUUUCUUCAUCUGAUAAAGUUAUUUAUAUGAUUGUUUCACAAAAUGUACAUCUCUCUUAUAGUUUUAUAAACUAUAUAAGAGAUAUGUACAUUUUGUGAACAAUUUUACAAAUCACUUUAUCGGAUAAAGAAAUGGCCAAAAUAAAAGUUAUAUAUCUUAUUGAGUUAUACAAUUUUGUUAUUGAUGACUUUUUCAGUUAAAAUC